GGACUACUCGGGUUUCUAAUCCCGUUCGCUCCCCUAGCUUUCGCCCCUCAGCGUCAGGUACCAGCCAGGACACUGCCUUCGCCUUUGGUGUUCUUCCGGAUAUCUACGCAUUUCACCACUACACCCGGAGUUCCAUGUCCCUCUCUGGUCCUCUCAGUCCGCCCGUUUUCGCACCGCUCUCCCAGUUAAGCCAGGAGCUGUCAGCGCAAACCUAGCGGACCGCCUGCGGGCGCUUUACGCCCAGUAACUCCGGACAACGCUUGUCCCCUACGUAUUACCGCGGCUGCUGGCAC
rnacentral:rRNA from 1 species